ACACCGGCAGCCCAAGUGGUGGCCAUUUUUAUUGGGCCUAAAGCGUUCGUAGCCGGCCUGAUAAGUCUCUGGUGAAAUCCCGCAGCUUAACUGUGGGAAUUGCUGGAGAUACUAUCAGGCUUGAGGUCGGGAGAGGUUAGAGGUACUCCCAGGGUAGGGGUGAAAUCCUAUAAUCCUGGGAGGACCACCUGUGGCGAAGGCGUCUAACUGGAACGAACCUGACGGUGAGUAACGAAAGCCAGGGGCGCGAACCGGAUUAGAUACCCGGGUAGUCCUGGCCGUAAACGAUGUGGACUUGGUGUUGGGAUGGCCUCGAGCUGCCCCAGUGCCGGAGGGAAGCUGUUAAGUCCACCGCCUGGGAAGUACGGCCGCAAGGCUGAAACUUAAAGGAAUUGACGGGG
rnacentral:rRNA from 1 species